rnacentral:rRNA from 1 species
AGUGAACGCUGGCGGUAGGCCUAACACAUGCAAGUCGAACGGCAGCACAGUAAGAGCUUGCUCUUACGGGUGGCGAGUGGCGGACGGGUGAGGCAUACAUCGGAAUCUACUUUUUCGUGGGGGAUAACGUAGGGAAACUUACGCUAAUACCGCAUACGACCUACGGGUGAAAUCAGGGGAUCUUCGGACCUUGCGCGAUUGAUUGAGCCGAUGUCGGAUUAGCUAGUUGGCGGGGUAACGGCCCACCAAGGCGACGAUCCGUAGCUGGUCUGAGAGGAUGAUCAGCCACACUGGAACUGAGACACGGUCCAGACUCCUACGGGAGGCAGCAGUGGGGAAUAUUGGACAAUGGGCGCAAGCCUGACGCAGCAAUGCCGCGUGGGUGAAGAAGGCCUUCGGGUUGUAAAGCCCUGUUGUUGGGAAAGAAAAGCAGUAGGUGAAUCCCCGGCUGUUCUGACGGUACCCAAAGAAUAAGCACCGGCUAACUUCGUG